rnacentral:lncRNA from 1 species
CUUAAUGGUGCCUCUACUAGUUUUGGAUUCGAUUCACCAAUCGAACCCAAUUCUGUAUGUGUCGGUCCUUCCACCUCAUGAACCUCAUCAAGUUUAAUUUUACAAGCAUUAGCUCCUUCACCAAGGAACUCUUUUUUCAAAAAGACUGCCCGACUGCUGACAAACACCUUUUGUUCUGCAGUGAGGGAGAAGUAGUACCCUUUAGUUUUCUUUGGAUAUCCUACGAAUAAGCAUCAUCAGACUUCGAUCCAAGCUUAUCUGUCUUUAAAUGCUUGACAUAAGC